CUUAGCUUCGGCUAAACAUAUACUAAAAUUGGAACGAUACAGAGAAGAUUAGCAUGGCCCAGCGCAAGGAUGACUGGCUUUAUGGCUUUAUU